rnacentral:rRNA from 1 species
GAUGUAGGGGGCGAGCGUUGUCCGGAAUCAUUGGGCGUAAAGAGCGCGUAGGCGGCCCGGCAAGUCGGAUGUGAAAACCUGGGGCUCAACCCCAGGCCUGCAUCCGAUACUCCCGGGCUCGAGGCAGGUAGGGGAGAUCGGAAUUCCUGGUGUAGCGGUGAAAUGCGCAGAUAUCAGGAGGAACACCGGUGGCGAAGGCGGAUCUCUGGGCCUGUCCUGACGCUGAGGCGCGAAAGCUAGGGGAGCGAACAGG